rnacentral:rRNA from 1 species
AUACUGCAAGUCGAGCGGACAGAAGGGAGCUUGCUCCCGGAUGUUAGCGGCGGACGGGUGAGUAACACGUGGGUAACCUGCCUGUAAGACUGGGAUAACUCCGGGAAACCGGAGCUAAUACCGGAUAGUUCCUUGAACCGCAUGGUUCAAGGAUGAAAGACGGUUUCGGCUGUCACUUACAGAUGGACCCGCGGCGCAUUAGCUAGUUGGUGAGGUAACGGCUCACCAAGGCGACGAUGCGUAGCCGACCUGAGAGGGUGAUCGGCCACACUGGGACUGAGACACGGCCCAGACUCCUACGGGAGGCAGCAGUAGGGAAUCUUCCGCAAUGGACGAAAGUCUGACGGAGCAACGCCGCGUGAGUGAUGAAGGUUUUCGGAUCGUAAAGCUCUGUUGUUAGGGAAGAACAAGUGCAAGAGUAACUGCUUGCACCUUGACGGUACCUAACCAGAAAGCCACGGCUAACUACGUGCCAGCAGCCGCGGUAAUACGUAGGUGGCAAGCGUUGUCCGGAAUUAUUGGGCGUAAAGGGCUCGCAGGCGGUUUCUUAAGUCUGAUGUGAAAGCCCCCGGCUCAACCGGGGAGGGUCAUUGGAAACUGGGAAACUUGAGUGCAGAAGAGGAGAGUGGAAUUCCACGUGUAGCGGUGAAAUGCGUAGAGAUGUGGAGGAACACCAGUGGCGAAGGCGACUCUCUGGUCUGUAACUGACGCUGAGGAGCGAAAGCGUGGGGAGCGAACAGGAUUAGAUACCCUGGUAGUCCACGCCGUAAACGAUGAGUGCUAAGUGUUAUGGGGUUUCC